UCCCUGGUGGUCUAAUGUUUAGGAUUAAGUGCUCUCACCGCCGUAGCUCGGGUUCGAUUCCUGGUCAGGGAA
rnacentral:tRNA from 1 species